rnacentral:rRNA from 1 species
UCGGCCGUAACUAUAACGGUCCUAAGGUAGCGAAAUUCCUUGUCGGGUAAGUUCCGACCUGCACGAAUCGUGCAACGAGAUGGGCGCUGUCUCGACCAGGUGCUCAGUGAAAUUGUAACACCGGUGAAGAUGCCGGUUACCCGCAGAAGGACGGAAAGACCCUAUAGACCUUAACUGUAAGCUGUUACUGGUUAUUUGAUUUCAAUGCUCAGCAUAAGUGGGAGGCUUUGAAGCGGCGUUUUAGGGCGUCGUGGAGCCAUCAGUGAGAUACCACCCUUUGGUAUUGGAUGAUCUAACCCCGAGCCGUUAUCCGGCCGGGGGACCCUGGCAGCCGGUCAGUUUUACUGGGGCGGUAUCCUCCUAAAGAGUAACGGAGGAGCGCGAAGGUGGGCUCAGCGCAGUUGGCAACUGCGUGUCGAGUGUAAAGGCACAAGCCCGCCUAACUGUGAGACCUACAAGUCGAGCAGAUACGAAAGUAGGCCUUAGUGAUCCGGCGGUUGAAUGUGGAAUUGCCGUCGCUCAACGGAUAAAAGGUACCUUAGGGAUAACAGGCUGAUCGCGCCCAAGAGUUCAUAUCGACGGCGCGGUUUGGCACCUCGAUGUCGGCUCGUCGCAUCCUGGGGCUGGAGAAGGUCCCAAGGGUCCGGCUGUUCGCCGGUUAAAGCGGCACGCGAGCUGGGUUCAGAACGUCGCGAGACAGUUCGGUCCUCUAUCCUCUGUGGGCGUAGGAGAAUUGAGGGGUUCACUUUCUAGUACGAGAGGACCGAAAGUGACGCACCUCUGGUGUACCAGUUGUUCUGUCAAGAGCAUCGCUGGGUAGCUAAGUGCGGAAGAGAUAAGCGCUGAAAGCAUCUAAGCGCCAAGCUCCUCCCAAGAUGAAUUCUCCCUGAGGAUCGUGGUAGACCACCACGUUGAUAGGCUGAUGGUGUAAGUCCAGUAAUGGAUUUAGCUUACCAGUACUAAUCAUCCGAUAGGCUUGAUUCCUUCUCUCUC